UACGAAGGGGGCGAGCGUUGUUCGGAAUCACUGGGCGUAAAGGGCGCGUAGGCGGCCCUCUUAGUCGCGUGUGAAAGCCCCGGGCUCAACCUGGGAACGGCGCGCGAAACGGGAGGGCUGGAGUUCGGGAGAGGAGAGUGGAAUUCCCAGUGUAGAGGUGAAAUUCGUAGAUAUUCGCAAGAACACCAGUGGCGAAGGCGGCUCACUGGCCCGAUACUGACGCUGAGGCACGAAAGCGUGGGGAGCAAACAGG
rnacentral:rRNA from 1 species